GCGGGUGUAGCUCAGCUGGUUAGAGCGCCGGCCUGUCACGCCGGAGGUCGCGGGUUCGAGCCCCGUCACUCGCGCCA
rnacentral:tRNA from 1 species